rnacentral:rRNA from 1 species
GACGAACGCUGGCGGCGUGCUUAACACAUGCAAGUCGAACGAUGACGGAGGAGCUUGCUCCUCCUGAUUAGUGGCGAACGGGUGAGUAAUACGUGAGCAAUGUGCCCUUGACUCUGGGAUAAGCGCUGGAAACGGCGUCUAAUACCGGAUACGACGAUCGGAGGCAUCUCCUGGUCGUGGAAAGACUUCGGUCAAGGAUCAGCUCACGGCCUAUCAGUUAGUUGGUGAGGUAAUGGCUCACCAAGACGACGACGGGUAGCCGGCCUGAGAGGGUGACCGGCCACACUGGGACUGAGACACGGCCCAG